CUAAAGAAUGCCACCAGAAACUUUCGUCCCGACAGUCUUCUAGGUGAAGGUGGUUUUGGUUAUGUUUUUAAAGGAUGGAUUGAUGAAAACACAAUGACUGCUGCAAGGCCUGGAUCUGGAAUGGUUAUAGCUGUCAAGAAGCUUAAACCUGAAGGUUUCCAGGGCCACAAGGAGUGGUUGACAGAAGUUAAUUAUCUUGGCCAACUUCAUCAUCCAAAUCUGGUCAAGCUGAUUGGUUACUGCUUGGAGGGUGAGAACCGGCUUUUGGCGUAUGAGUUUAUGCCGAAAGGGAGUUUAGAGAAUCAUCUAUUCAGAAGAGGGCCUCAGCCGCUAUCAUGGGCAGUGCGAAUAAAAGUGGCCAUAGGUGCUGCCAGAGGGCUAUCUUUCCUUCAUGAUGCAAAAUCCCAAGUCAUAUACCGUGAUUUUAAGGCUUCUAAUAUCCUACUGGAUGCGGAUUUCAAUGCAAAACUCUCUGAUUUUGGUUUGGCCAAGGCAGGCCCUACUGGCGAUAGAACUCAUGUGUCCACUCAAGUCAUGGGUACUCAUGGCUAUGCUGCACCGGAAUAUGUUGCUACAGGUAGGUUGACAGCCAAAAGUGAUGUAUACAGCUUUGGGGUUGUGUUACUUGAACUCCUGUCUGGAAGGCGUGCUGUUGAUAAAACAAAGGUUGGUGCGGAGCAGAAUCUGGUAGAAUGGGCAAAACCCUAUCUUGGUGACAAGAGAAGAUUAUUCCGGAUAAUGGACACCAAGUUGG
rnacentral:misc_RNA from 1 species